AUGGCUCAGAAUGUACGCUGGCGGCACGCCUAACACAUGCAAGUCGAGCGAGGUACUUGUACCUAGCGGCAGACGGGUGCGUAACAUGUGGGAAUCUGCCUUUUGGUUCGGAACAACACGGGGAAACUUGUGCUAAUACCGGAUAAGUCCUCACGGAGAAAGAUUUAUCGCCGAAAGAUGAGCCCGCACUAGAUUAGCUUGUUGGUAAGGUAAAAGCUUACCAAGGCUACGAUCUAUAGCUGAUUUGAGAGGAUGAUCAGCCACACUGGGACUGAGACACGGCCCAGACUCCUACGGGAGGCAGCAGUGGGGAAUCUUGCACAAUGGAGGAAACUCUGAUGCAGCGAUGCCGCGUGAGUGAAGAAGGCCCUUGGGUUGUAAAGCUCUUUUGUCGGGAAAGAUAAUG
rnacentral:rRNA from 1 species